CUCAAAGUCAACAAAAGAUGCGACAUGUGGGAGCAGCGAGCGAGGCUGUCAGCGUACACUUGGUGUCAAUGAAAGCGGAGGGGAAAGAGAGGAAACACGAGGCUGCGACACUCCCGCGGAUCAAGCGCAAAUUUGGAGGCAGUCCUCGGCUACAGCGACUGCGUGCGGCUCCUCGGCAGCUCCAGCUCGCGUGGUUUGCGCUCUUUUCUUCCCAGAGGAAUCACUUUAGACCUUCCGUGGCACGCUGUAGAGGAGUGGGCGAGAGAGGCGUGGCCUACAAGGAGAACAGCAACGCCCCUCCAAACACGGUUAAUAAGACGGACAAUCAGCUGUCCACCAAUUAGACCAGUUCAGCAUUCUGCUAUAUGCCCCCACCCACGCCAGGCCCCCCAAAAUUCCCCUUCCCGAUAUCCACCACUUGCAAUGUCCCGCCCCUGGCACUCCGUGCACGGUGCGAGCGUCCGUGCCCACUGCGCGCAUGUUCUGGGUGUCCAUGUGCGUGGCGGAUUUGCUUGUGACUAUCUACACAAGGCAUUUGUGUAACCUCCUGUGCACGUUUGAGUCCAUAUGCACGGAGAAAAAACAUCACAGGGAAUGAUUGAAAUUGUGUCCAUUAGAAACAGGAAAAUUAGAGAAGCUAAAUUUUAGUUGAAUAAUACAUUUGUGCAAAUUAGUUAUACAGUUUAUUUUUAAUUUGUGAUACGUAUUAUAUUGUGCAUUAUUUAUGAUUGAAUAGUCUUGGAUGGAAAGGACAAGAAGCGCAUAAAAAACCUUGCAUGAAUAUGCAAUCAUUAAAAAAAACAAAAGGCAACAAAGUCGCUGUGCACAUUUUUUCAGUUUCAAAUAUGACGGCGAGAGAACAGAGAGCUUCGAUUUGAUGCACGGCAUAAAUCAUUUGGGACCAAGUGGUGACUGCAACAUGAAUGUGAGGAUUACAGCUCAUCUGUGGUGCGUCUUCGAGUUGUCCCACAGCAUCGCCACAAGCCAAGAAAUAAGUGCAGACACGGAAUAACAAGAAAGAAAUGCAUCACACUUGAUGUGCACAACAUUCCAUACUGAUUUCCUGUAUUAUGAUUUGACUCUGGCCAUAAAAGCCUGAAUGAGAGCCCUGCAGCAAUGAAUUUGGCUUUAAAUAAUAAAUAAAUAAUAAUACAGUACCUA